AUUGAACGCUGGCGGCAGGCCUAACACAUGCAAGUCGAACGGUAACAGGACGAAGCUUGCUUCUUUGCUGACGAGUGGCGGACGGGUGAGUAAUGUCUGGGAAACUGCCUGAUGGAGGGGGAUAACUACUGGAAACGGUCGCUAAUACCGCAUAACGUCGCAAGACCAAAGCGGGGGACCUUCGGGCCUCUUGCCAUCGGAUGUGCCCAGAUGGGAUUAGCUAGUAGGUGGGGUAACGGCUCACCUAGGCGACGAUCCCUAGCUGGUCUGAGAGGAUGACCAGCCACACUGGAACUGAGACACGGUCCAGACUCCUACGGGAGGCAGCAGUGGGGAAUAUUGCACAAUGGGCGCAAGCCUGAUGCAGCCAUGCCGCGUGUAUGAAGAAGGCCUUCGGGUUGUAAAGUACUUUCAGCGGGGAGGAAGGGAGUAAAGUUAAUACCUUUACUCAUUGACGGUACCCGCAGAAGAAGCACCGGCUAACUCCGUG
rnacentral:rRNA from 1 species